AAAAAAUGCCUUAAAAUUUAUGUAUAGAUAUGUUUGCGUUUCAAGACAUGCUCACCAACACACCAAGCCACCACUUUAGUAGACAAUAUUUUGGCUUGGUGCAAUCAGCCUCCUUAUCCUCUCUGCCAAUGAUCAUCAGUCAGCACAUUAAAUUAGCAAUGGUGUUUGAUAUUUUUAUUAUUUGAGAAGUGACUGCUCCUGUCCUCUCGGUAUUGGAAAGAGAUGUGGUUUUUAAGUAUUCUCCCAAUUUUGGUUAGCUAGUGGAGUCCCGUUGCUUCAAACCAAGACGUGCCGAAUAAGCUUCUGAAGAGAGGUUGAGAAAGAUAUAACUAGAGUUGGAAGAAUAUAACAAACUUAUGGAAUCCUGGGCUCAGUUUUUUGAAAAAGCCAAGCCAUUUUUGGCUGUGAUUUUUCUGCAGUUUGGGUAUGCAGGCUUGUCCAUAAUUUCAAAGUUUGCUCUAAAUAAAGGGAUGAGCCAACAUGUAUUGGUGGUCUAUAGGCAUGCUGUUGCCACCAUUGUAAUUUCUCCUUUUGCCAUUAUUUUUGAUAGGUCUCUCUCUCUGUCUUUCUCAUGUGGGUUUCAUGCAAUAUUCUCAUUAAUCAUAUUGAUUUCAAUAAUUUUUUGUAUCACAGGAAGGUAAGGCCAAAGAUGACCCUCUCCAUCUUUGCCAAGAUACUGUUACUAGGCUUGUUAGAGCCAACUAUUGACCAGAACUUGUUUUAUACUGGAAUGAAGUACACCACAGCAACUUUUGCUGCUACUAUGUGCAAUAUUGUUCCUGCUUUUGCAUUUCUCAUGGCUUGGGCUUUAAGGCUUGAGAAGGUUAAUUUGAGGAAAUUGCAUAGCCAGGCA
rnacentral:misc_RNA from 1 species